GCGGACGUGGUGUACGGUACACCGCUGUGAUCAGCGAUAAACACGUAAAACAGAACGGAUCAGCAGCCAACCGGGGUUCGAUUCCCUGCGUCCGCA